UACAAUAUUUGUAUUUGCAUGUGGCCCAUGGGCUGUAGUUUGAGGACCCCUGCUUUAGAGGGUCCAACACUCUAUCCACUGAGCCAAACUGACUAGGGCUCUAUUCUAUUUUUUAUUCAGAGAAAAUUCAAAGCACCUCCCGUCCCCUUUCUUUUUUUCUUUUUCUAAACAUGAACUCCCAAGUUUUUGCUGCCAUUAUUAUUAGGGCUGAAAAGUAAUUACUGUGUCUUCCUGGGUAUAGUUGUUUCUCUUUACCGUAAUAUAGUCUGUAGUAUCUGUUGGAGAAUUAUCUGGUGUUUUGACAGGUAGUCUUAAACUAUUGAAUGACCACACCUUAUUCAAUUUGGUGGGGUAAAACAAUUAGAAAGUGCUUCCUUGUUUUAAUCAAAUCUGCUACUCAAUAUUAAGUCUCAUCCAACUAUCUAUCAUUAUAUAAAUAGAAUCUUCUCAUCAAAAAGUAAACAAGGUUUAAAUUCCUAAGAAGUGCCAAUCUAUAGUACCUAAAAAAGUAUUUACAUAUGAAAACCACAAUGUUUAGACUCAUUGCAUACUCAUAAUCAAAUUGUUAUUACUUUCCCUUUCAAAGAAGGAACAAAAACUGAGAUGUCAAGAAUUUAGCAGAGAAUUCAGUUUAAUGGUGUUGUGUUAUAUUCUAUGAUGAUUGUGAAACCCACUAUUUUUAGAGUUCUCUGCUUUUUGGCCAAAAAAAGAAAAAAGAAAGGAAAGAAAAAAAGUCUACCAACUGCAUUCUCCAUACGUAGCUGAAUGUGAAUCUUCUCAAAUAGGGAAAAGAGAGAGGUGAGGUAAUUAAGACAGGCUUUGGGGACAUAUAGCACCCAAGUUCUAGUCGCACUUUCAUUACUAGUUGUGUGAAUUGGACCAAGACUCUUAACUCAUUUCUUAGUUUCCUCAUCUGGACAAUGGAGAAAAUAGUACUUUAUAGGACUGUUGGGAGGAUGAAGUACAAUUAUAUAGGUGAAUGUCUGGCACAAAGCAAGCAUGCCAGAUAGUAUCCUAACAAGGAAUCAUUAUCCAUCUCUGUCCCAAAGAGUCUGGCACUAUCACUGGCACAAAGGAGACACUCUAUUAAUGUUCACAGUAGCUACUAUUUAUUAAGUGCGUUUUGUGUAUUAAAGAACUCUGCUAUGUGAUACACACAUGAAGACAUAUGUGUAUGAAAUUUCACAGCAAUCUUAAUAGGUAGGUAGGACAGUAUUAUGCCCAUUUUGCAGUAGAAGAAAUUGAGGCACAGAAGUUUUACUAACUUGCUUAGAAUCAUAAACUGGUGUUUAGUUAUCCAGGAUUCAAAUUCAAGUACACCUGGCAUUAUUGCACAUAAUUCCAUUAUGGAAAAAAAUUUAAAAGGGCAUUUUGUAUGUGUGUGUGUGGUGUCGGAUUGAACUUUUCUUAUUUUGUGUUUUAUUUGGUUCAACUUUUCUGUUCCUUCCCCCUUUCCAUAGUAUGAAUAUCUGAAACCUUUGGGGGUAGAGGGAAAUCUUAUCUACUGACUGUGUGUAUUUCCUGCUAUUAUUCAAGGUAGCAUGUUUCCUUAAUUUUAUGGGAAUCCUGAAGGAUGUGUAUUGAAGAUUCCUUUCUGUAGAAAAUACUUGUUUGUUUCUACUUCCAAGACUACUUCUAUUAACCAGGCAUUUCCCUGACUUGAAGAUGUUGUAAAUCUGAAUUUAGGCUUGCUCAGGGGAGAUCAGUGUCAUUAUCUUCAUUAAUUAAUCUAGGCUUGGUGUAGGUCUGCAGAUUUACUCAUUAGUUUGCUUUGAUGGAAGGCAGAUUUUUCCUACCUUGCCCUUUUAACAAAGGUGUAGCUCUUUCAAGCGUGGAACAUUGAGGUUGUUUCUCAUGUUCAGUCCUUUCCCAUUCAGAAGCUCAAGAUCAAGUGUCCCUUCCCCUUACAAGACCCUCAGGUUUCUGGAGGGAAUGGUAUUGCUCCUACGGCAGCGUGGGCCUACAAAUUAGUUUGCUGCUAGGGUUUAGAUUUGUUGUUCUUUUUCUUUUUUUCUCUUAUCCUUGGGAACCUUCAUUACCUUCUUAUCUCAGCAGUACACUUAAAAGUGUAUCUUUUGUUAUUUAUUGAGCAUCUGGAUGAUGUGUGACAAAAGACUCUUCACAUUAUCAUGACAUGCAAGCUUUCCAUAAGUAAGAGUUUCUUUUUAACGUUCUCACCAUGGCUGGAAUACUCGGGUUUUCAACAUAAAGUCCAGUAUCAUGAGUACUUCUAGAGGAUUAAUUUCACCUUUGUUGAGAGGGGGUUGUGAUGGAAAUCUGGGUAAGAGGGAUAAGAGUACUGUUUAUUACGGUAAAUGCUGGUUUUGAAUCAGAACUAUGUGUGUUUUACUUACAAUUCUUAUUUUUAUGACAACCCAGCAAGAUAGGUGGUAUUCUUACCAUUUACAGAAGAAAGAAAUCAAGUUUCAGAAAAUCUUAAUUUUGUGAUAUUGUACAACUAGCCUAAGUUUCAGAAGCAGGAUUUGAACCAGGUCUCUCUGGCUUCCCUUCUCACAUACUUGCAACUAGUUUUUAAGAUGUCCCAGAGCUUUGAAAAGCAAAGUGCUAUGCAAUGACAAUGUACCCUAUAUGUUUACAUAUAUGUUAAGGCUAAUAAUAUUUGUGACAUGAAUGAAUGUGUCCUGUAUUUAAAACAGUGAUCUACACAAGUAAUUUGUUUAAAGAUUUAUAAUAAAAUGAUGAUGUAUGUCAAUCUGUUAAUGUUUGUUAGAAGCUGCUUAAAGAUGGACUUUGAGAUUGGAAAGUCCUUUAGAGGAACAGGAACCAGGAAGAGUAUCUUUUUUUUUUUUUUUACUUGAAUUUCCUUCCAAGAGCAGUUUAAAGAGUAGAGUAGUCAGUUGUCUUUUAAUGAAUAGCCAUUCAUUAAGUAUCUGCCCAAGGCCACUACCUCUGGACUUUCAAAAUAUUUGGUUCAAUUCUGGUGUAGUUUGUACUGAAAAAAAUUUUAACAUGCCUUUGCCGGAAAGUUGAUUGAAAAAAGACUCAAACAAGAUGUGUUUCAUUUUGUUGAUGUGAGCAUAGUGAGAUUCACUAGGCUAGGACAGGAGAUGGUAAUCUGUAUUUUUAAAAAGUGUAUCAGAUCCUUCUGAUGAUGUGCUUGGUUUCCAAAUGCCAUCCUACUGGUUGCAUCAGAAUUACUUGGAGUGCUCAUUAAAAAUCCCCAGCCACACCCUAGUUAGGAGUCAGAAUCUCCAGGAGUAGGGUGAGAGAAGCUGUAUUUUCAACAGGUGCCCAGAUUUUCCCGAAUGCAACCAGUUUUGAACGACUGGUCAUUCCCAAACAUGGGUAAACUCCACCGUUGGUCCUGAGGAUAGGUUUUGCUGGUGCCAGGCAAUGAAUGAUACAGAUGCCCCACAACUAACACAUCAUCUGGGCCCUCUAAUUUUUGGCAACCUUCUUGCCUAUUUCUGGUUGAUUCUUCAUUGUAUUUUUUACACGUCUUUUCUACUUUGCUCUUGUUUCUCAACCCCACCCUGUCCCCCUUGAAAUAGACUUUAAUUUAUGCUGAUAUACUUUUUAUAUCCAACAGGAGUAUCUGAUAUGAGCUCGGUUGACCUCUUUUUACUUCCUCCUCCCUCUCUCUUCUUUUCAAACGAGUUUAAACUUUGAUAUUCUCUGAAGCUACCACCCAACAGCUUUCUUACUUAAACUACGUUAUGUACUAGUACUUCCUUUGCUGUCUCUGUUUCUUUAUCCUUCUCCCCACUUAUUUCUAGGCUACCUUCUGUUCCCACCUGGAUCAGUACUCUGUUACCUAACAGCCUGUUUCUAGCCCUUAUUGUUAAUUUUUUUCAGUGGCAUUUGCUACUUUUUUAAGCCCUUUUUUGGGUCUGGAUUACAUGAGAUCGCCUGAUUUUCGCACUUCACUAAAUCUCAAAGUUUCGUCCUCUGGCUAGCCCAUUUUUCUUCUUUUUCUCCUGCAACCUCUUAUUUCCUGCCACCUCUGUUCUUUAAUGGUCUCAUUCAGUCUCUGGGCUUCUCUAGGUCAUCUGUACUGCUCUGCUAUUUUCAGGGCCUGCUUAAGAAAUGUCAAUGUAGUAAGGGCACCAAAUUGCAACUUCUGAUGCAACCAAGCCUUUUCUCCUGACAUUCCUUGGCGGUAUUAACAGCCUUGCUUUCCUUCUGCUUCAAAGAUUAUUUUAAAUCUGCUCUGUUAUCUACUUGCUAUCCAAUCUGCCUCCAGUACUAUGGCUUCCCCUUUGCCAUCCAAUCUGCCUCCAGUACUAUGGCUUCCCCUUUGCCAUCCAAUCUGCCUCUAGUACUAUGGCUUCCCCUUUGCCAUCCAAUCUGCCUCCAGUACUAUGGCUUCCCCUUUGCCAUCCAAUCUGCCUCUAGUACUAUGGCUUCCCCUUCCUUUCCUGAUGGCUCCUUUGUCAUAUUUCAGCCCCACUUUUCUCCCCAGCAGUACUGCUAUCCACUUUACCCCCCCUCCCCCCGCCAUUAAUUUUCUUAAAUCUGGGUAUUGGUCACAUCUUUCCCGUGGCCAGAAGCCUUCUAUGGCUCCUCAACUGGCUGUUAUUGAUAUCUGUAAUGAGAUACUCUGUAUUCAAGAAUGAUCACUUGGUGACUGACUGUUGGUUAAACUUUUACCAGUAACCCCUCAGUAUAGAGAUGGACCUUUAGGAGUUCAUACAAAUAUUUAAUCUUAGUUGAACUACUAAAGCUGGACUAGUUAUGCAUUGCCCACACUUCAGGAGUCGUGUGUGUUUUCAGGACUACACUUGACAUCGUUUGCAGAGCAUUGUGAAGUAGUCAUCUGUCCUUGGAGUGUGGUUGACAGUGGACAUUAGCUCCAGGAAGUAUUCUGGGACCCCACAGUCAGUUUUGUGUUAUUAUCUCAUUUAUGCAGCAAUAGCCUGAAGAUAAACCUAGCUGUUUGGCUCAUUCACCAGAAUUCACCACCUGCAGCUGUUAUAGGACAGGGGAGCUGGCCCUGAGCAGGUCUGCAUAGGGCUGGCCAGUAUGGUUUCUUGACUUCAUGCAGGAAAUAUUUCAUAGCAGGAGGCCAGGUGACUUUGAGGGUAUUUUUCUUUAAAUCUGGGACCCAAGGAAGGGCCUAGGAUAGAAGAAGCAACAGGAGAGACCUAGGUGGUGCUCUGCUUGGCUCUCUAGAAAUGCCGUAGGAAAGAAGUGAGCCAAGGUGGGCUGCUUUAGCUCACCAGGAAGUCAGAGAAAAGGGGGCCUUGGAGACAGGUUCAGGGGAUUAGCCCAGCAUGAGCUAUCACUGCCCAUUGUUCCCCUGGUUGCGAAUCUCAUGGGGACCCUUAGAGUUAGGAGAUGCUUGCCUGUGGGGGAAGAUGAGGGGGAAGGAGAAGGCAUAGGCAUUCUUCUGGCUGGGGAAACACACACUGGGUCCUUUGUUUUGAGGCUUUUAGCUCUCUUUUGCUGGCGGGAAUCUUAGGGGAGGUCUCAGGGGAGGUUUUCAGCAGAAUAUGCAUUCCUUUUCUGGUGUGCCCUUUUAGGGUCGUGGUCUCUACUGAUUGGUGAGCACCAGGGCAGGGGGGAUUCGUCAUUGCCAGUGGUCCUGGCGUAGCCCACCUGGUUUUGCUGCUUUUCUGGGCCUGGAGCUGAAAUACAACUGAGGCCUAGAUGUUAUCUCUAGGGAGGUGACCUGUAUCUGGCUGGAAAUUGCUCAGCCAGUUUGUUCAGCUGUUUCAGUUUCCCUAUUCUAGUUGGCCAAGGAAUUUUCCUAACUUCUGACUGUCCUGCCUCACAGCCACUAUUCUGGGGACUGCACCAAGGCAAAUAUCCAGCCUGCUGUGCAAGGCUGCGAUGUUCCCUGGGCUUCUGGUAGGCAACAUUUUGUAUUAGGCUACAUGUUAAUAGAAGCCUUAAAAAAGUGCAAUGCCCUUAGGAUAGGGUUAUUUGUGUUUUUUUAAAAAUUUAUGCUAAUGAGAACAUUUAAGAGGUGAAAGGUCAGUUUAUAGAACCAAAUAAAUUAUAAGAUAUCCCAGCAGCAGAAUACAAGAGGUUAUUGCUUAUAAUUUCAAAUAUAAUGCAAUAUAAGGUAUAGGAACUUAUCAAAUUAUAGCCAAAUUUGGUUACAAAUUAUUACUAAAAAUCCUCCAUGGAACAAUAAAGCUUUUAAACAAAGUGAUUUUUACUUCCACUGUAGAGAGUUGACUAACAUGUAACUCCCCCUCUCUCCCGCAAUGAAAAACACAGGCUGCUUUAAUGCUGUUAUAUUGGUGACUUAAUAUGAUAUUUGGUGUUGGGAAUCCAAGAUGAAUAAUACAAAUGCCUUGACCGCUUGUAAGAAAGUUUUCAAAUGAUUUCUUCAGUCUUAAAAGCUAACAAGAUGAAGAAAAGGCCCACAAGGCGUACAUGCCACAAUGCUGAUGAGUGAACUCUUACAACAAAAUGUUCAUUAAUUAAAAAUAGCUGCCUGAUACAGGAAACAGCUCAUAUAGCAGCUUCUGACACGGUUCUAAAAACGGACUUGAGCUGCUUGCGUGCUAAACAGGAA